rnacentral:rRNA from 1 species
UACGUAGGGUGCAAGCGUUAAUCGGAAUUACUGGGCGUAAAGCGUGCGCAGGCGGUUUGUUAAGUCCGUUGUGAAGUCCCCGAGCUCAACUUGGGAAUUGCAAUGGAUACUGGCAAGCUGGAGUAUGGUAGAGGAAGGUGGAAUUCCCGGUGUAGCAGUGAAAUGCGUAGAGAUCGGGAGGAACACCAGUGGCGAAGGCGGCCUUCUGGACCAAUACUGACGCUCAUGCACGAAAGCGUGGGGAGCAAACAGG